GACGAACGCUGGCGGCGUGCUUAACACAUGCAAGUCGAACGGAAAGGCCCUGCUUUUGUGGGGUGCUCGAGUGGCGAACGGGUGAGUAACACGUGAGUAACCUGCCCUUGACUUUGGGAUAACUUCAGGAAACUGGGGCUAAUACCGGAUAGGAGCUCCUGCUGCAUGGUGGGGGUUGGAAAGUUUCGGCGGUUGGGGAUGGACUCGCGGCUUAUCAGCUUGUUGGUGGGGUAGUGGCUUACCAAGGCUUUGACGGGUAGCCGGCCUGAGAGGGUGACCGGCCACAUUGGGACUGAGGGACGGCGCAGACGGCUACGGGAGGCAGCAGUGGGGAAUAUUGCGCAAUGGGCGGAAGCCUGAGGCAGCAACGCCGCGUGCGGGAUGACGGCCUUCGGGUUGUAAACCGCUUUCGCCUGUGACGAAGCGUGAGUGACGGUAAUGGGUAAAGAAGCACCGGCUAACUACGUG
rnacentral:rRNA from 1 species